GAGUUUGAUCGUGGCUCAGGAUGAACGCUGGCGGCGUGCCUAAUACAUGCAAGUCGAGCGAACAGACGAGGAGCUUGCUCCUCUGACGUUAGCGGCGGACGGGUGAGUAACACGUGGAUAACCUACCUAUAAGACUGGGAUAACUUCGGGAAACCGGAGCUAAUACCGGAUAAUAUAUUGAACCGCAUGGUUCAAUAGUGGAAGACGGUUUUGCUGUCACUUAUAGAUGGAUCCGCGCCGCAUUAGCUAGUUGGUAAAGUAACGGCUUACCAAGGCAACGAUGCGUAGCCGACCUGAGAGGGUGAUCGGCCACACUGGAACUGAGACACGGUCCAGACUCCUACGGGAGGCAGCAGUAGGGAAUCUUCCGCAAUGGGCGAAAGCCUGACGGAGCAACGCCGCGUGAGUGAUGAAGGUCUUCGGAUCGUAAAACUCUGUUAUUAGGGAAGAACAAAUGUGUAAGUAACUAUGCACGUCUUGACGGUACCUAAUCAGAAGCCACGGCUAACUACGUGCCAGCCC
rnacentral:rRNA from 1 species